AAAAAAAAUGGGCGCAACGCCCAUCUUUUUCGACCGAGGUCGCACCCGGGCAGCGAAGAAAAACUACGUGCCCAGCGACUCCAUGAUUUUAGCCAUUU
rnacentral:sRNA from 1 species